rnacentral:rRNA from 1 species
GGAUCAAUAUGUUGGUCGUGCCUUGGUACGUACUAAUUUAUUGGUUUCUUCCUUCUGACGAACCAUGAUGUCAUUAAUUUGGUAUCUUGGGGAAUCAGGGCUGUUACUUUGAAAAAAUUAGAGUGUUCAAAGCAGGCAUUAGCUUGAAUACAUUAGCAUGGAAUAAUGAAAUAGGACGUUCGAUCCUAUUUUGUUGGUUUCUAGGAUUGACGUA